CCCAAACAUCCUCUCCUUGUCAAACACUGGGUGGAAUCUUACAUGAUUGUUGUUAUGUUCCUGUUGUAAGCAAUUUUGCUUUUGGUGAGCUUGUAAGCUUGGACAGUAUAAUAUUCAGGUAUUUUCCUCAUUUUAAGCCUGUCCAGGGAAUCUCACCAUCAGUGUCCGAGAAGAUCAGAACAAUAAGCACUCUGUGCAAAAGAAAAUCUUCAAAAGAUUGGCUAAUGCAGGAACCCUCAACUCCUUUACAGAGGGUCACCUCUUCCUUGGCUAGGAGCAGAUCCCCAAGCACUUUUGGCAGAAGUGCUUCUGAAAGGAAAAAAGCUUGUGAAGAAUGGCUAACACAGAAGCGGUUUUCUCAAGUGCAGGUAGGACAGAAGCUGUAUUUUUGCAAGGAUGAGGAAAAAGUAAUUAAAUGCAAUGUCCUGUAAUAUUUCUGCUGUAUGGACAAUACCUAGUGGUUUGCCACCUUUGGGAAGAGUAACAAAAAGUUACCAAGUGAGAAG
rnacentral:lncRNA from 1 species